rnacentral:rRNA from 1 species
ACGGAAGGCAGCAGUAGGGAAUAUUGGUCAAUGGGGGAAACCCUGAACCAGCGACGCCGCGUGAGUGAAGAAGUAUUUCGGUAUGUAAAGCUCUAUCAGCAGGGACGAUAAUGACGGUACCUGACUAAGAAGCCCCGGCUAACUACGUGCCAGCAGCCGCGGUAAUACGUAGGGGGCAAGCGUUAUCCGGAUUUACUGGGUGUAAGGGAGCGCAGGUGGCCAUGCAAGUCAGAUGUGAAAUCCCGGGGCUCAACCCCGGAGCUGCAUUUGAAACUGCGUAGCUAGAGUGCAGGAGAGGUAAGCGGAAUUCCUAGUGUAGCGGUGAAAUGCGUAGAUAUUAGGAGGAACACCAGUGGCGAAAGCGGCUUGCUGGACUGCAACUGACACUGAGGCUCGAAAGCGUGGGGAGCAAACAGGAUUAGAUACCCUGGUA